AUGGAGGAUGCUGGCAUGGAGUUCCUGCUCGAUGCCGUUGACAGAUUUCCAUUGCGGGAGGAGUUCGCCGACAGUCAUGAGCACCCAGAUCCGGUUCCUCUUGCAUUGUUGGCGAACCCCAGAAGUGAAGUUGCCGCCCCAGCAGACUCGAGUACUGGGUCUGGUUGUGCUCAACAGCUCAGUGUCAAAGUCAAUGGCAGCGCACGAGACGGGGUGUGGCGACGUCCCGACUCUUCCCCGACAAGGUCCGCUCAGUCAACUGACAGGAUCAACGCGCAGGCACCUGGGUGGACUAAAAGAUUAAGUCUGGGAAGUGCACCACCGGACCGGACACAAUGCCCUUCCCGAAUGAGCGCUAUGGAGCAGUCGAUUCACAAGUACGCAGAGAAGCCAACAAAAAGUGUGAUAAGGCAUGCAAGUAAAAUAUACACUAGGGCGAUGUUUGAAGAAUUCGGACGCUUGUUAAUUGAAGCGACAACAUACAAUGUCACAGAGAAGGAGAAGAUGAGGAAGUAUGUCACGGUUCACAACAAUGCAGCGAAAAGAGAGAAAUGGAGCAGGGUUGAGUAUGAGGUGAACGUAACCGAAGACAAACAGAGUAUACAUGUGAAUGUGGUCAGUUCGAGCACACUGGAAUGUUGUGCAGCCAUGUAUUGA
rnacentral:rRNA from 1 species